UUUCAAAGCUGGUGCGUUAGUGGCUCCUGUUGUCAGGUCUUAAUUUCACACCUUUAACACCCGCGGUGGCCAUGUGCUGAGUGACGGUUGCAGUUGUAAGAGCCAGUGAUGUAAAUGGCAGUGGGAUGUUGAGUUCACUUGGCUUCAGCGCUGGGGAGGAGCAGGGCCGUGCGACUCACAGGACGCUAUGGGAACUGCUGAAUUCAUGUGAAAUGCCCUUUGCAAACCCAGUAAGAACAUUUCACUGAUUCAGAGCCUUCUUACACUUUCAGUUGGAAUGACCUGGGGGGAAGUCAGUUUUUAUGGUUUAAUUCAAUACCUUUUCUCCAUCUAUUUAGUAUGAGAUCAUCACAACAAACAGCUUUCAGCACAAUAAAAAGUUCAGUUUCAAACUGGAGUCGAUGGAAGUUGAUCUCUCUCCUUCUCCGAUUAGAAAAUCCGAGAUAGCAGCCGGCCCUGCGAGAAUCUCCGUGAUUAGUCCACCUCAAGAUGGACGAAUGGGCAGCGUCUCCUCCCGGGGCCCCGAGCAUCCCGGCCUGACGCCGAGUCAGAGGAGCAUGGGAAAGCCUCUCAGGAUUCCACCUCUGCAAAUUCCCUACAAGGGACCCCCACUAACGCCAACACCACAGUUACCAGGGAGAGCAGGAAGAGGGGACUCUCCAAGCUUCGGGGGCUCCCAGGCCAGGCUGCCCCCCCGGCCGCCCAUCAGCAUCUCCAGCCUGCUGCAGAGGCAGUGUUUAGUGUGAAGUUUUGAAGUCAUUUCAAAGACAAAGUUGAUGUGUUUUUACCACGACUUCCAUGCCUCCUGCGGGACCUGCUCACCUUGGGGCAGUGACACCUGAAAGAUGAGCACCCAGCCACCCGCUCUGCCCACUUCCAGUCCUCCAGCCUUCGUGCCCACCAGCAUGUGUACGUUAGACAGCCAGUGCGACUGUACUUUCCCUCUUGUUGAAAUAAUUAAGUAAGGUAGUCGCAUAAAGUAUUUUUCUGAUUA
rnacentral:sRNA from 1 species